rnacentral:rRNA from 1 species
CGCUGGCGGCAGGCCUAACACAUGCAAGUCGAACGGUAACAGGAAGCAGCUUGCUGCUUUGCUGACGAGUGGCGGACGGGUGAGUAAUGUCUGGGAAACUGCCUGAUGGAGGGGGAUAACUACUGGAAACGGUGGCUAAUACCGCAUAACGUCGCAAGACCAAAGAGGGGGACCUUCGGGCCUCUUGCCAUCAGAUGUGCCCAGAUGGGAUUAGCUUGUUGGUGAGGUAACGGCUCACCAAGGCGACGAUCCCUAGCUGGUCUGAGAGGAUGACCAGCCACACUGGAACUGAGACACGGUCCAGACUCCUACGGGAGGCAGCAGUGGGGAAUAUUGCACAAUGGGCGCAAGCCUGAUGCAGCCAUGCCGCGUGUAUGAAGAAGGCCUUCGGGUUGUAAAGUACUUUCAGCGGGGAGGAAGGUGUUGUGGUUAAUAACCGCAGCAAUUGACGUUACCCGCAGAAGAAGCACCGGCUAACUCCGUGCCAGCAGCCGCGGUAAUACGGAGGGUGCAAGCGUUAAUCGGAAUUACUGGGCGUAAAGCGCACGCAGGCGGUCUGUCAAGUCGGAUGUGAAAUCCCCGGGCUCAACCUGGGAACUGCAUUCGAAACUGGCAGGCUUGAGUCUUGUAGAGGGGGGUAGAAUUCCAGGUGUAGCGGUGAAAUGCGUAGAGAUCUGGAGGAAUACCGGUGGCGAAGGCGGCCCCCUGGACAAAGACUGACGCUCAGGUGCGAAAGCGUGGGGAGCAAACAGGAUUAGAUACCCUGGUAGUCCACGCCGUAAACGAUGUCUACUUGGAGGUUGUGCCCUUGAGGCGUGGCUUCCGGAGCUAACGCGUUAAGUAGACCGCCUGGGGAGUACGGCCGCAAGGUUAAAACUCAAAUGAAUUGACGGGGGCCCGCACAAGCGGUGGAGCAUGUGGUUUAAUUCGAUGCAACGCGAAGAACCUUACCUGGUCUUGACAUCCACAGAAGAAUCCAGAGAUGGAUUUGUGCCUUCGGGAACUGUGAGACAGGUGCUGCAUGGCUGUCGUCAGCUCGUGUUGUGAAAUGUUGGGUUAAGUCCCGCAACGAGCGCAACCCUUAUCCUUUGUUGCCAGCGGUUAGG